ACAUAUCCUUUAAGAACAAAACAUGAAGACAGCUUUAUAUUUAUGGUCACUUUUCUUAAUGGGAGGUUCUACUAACUUCUAGAAAGUUGAUGAAUUUUGGUUCUAAUAUCUCAUUGUCCUAUCUACAUGGCCAAUUUCAAAUAGAUACUACAGUAUAAACACUGUCCCCUUAGCUUGAGCUCCUUUUUACUGCUUUAGGCUGAAUUCUAUGAUAUUAACUGUUCAAGCAAUUCAGUUGAAAAUGUUCUUAAAAUAAUAAAACAAUGUUUUCCAAUUUACGAGUUAGGCUAAUUUUGGGGUUAACUUACGGAAAGCAAAUUCCAACAUUUGAUUUAUAACCCUUGGUUCAUACUCCGUAAUUCCCAUAUCCUUCAGGAUUUGUGCCAUCACCUGUGGAUUCGAAUAAAAACGCCAGAUGCAUAAUCUAGGUACUGGAAAUCAAGACUGGACCGAAGGGAAAAAGGUUUUAAAGCGCAGAGGUAAUUUCAACUUGUGAAAUUGAAGUUGGAUUCCAAAUAAAUUAAAAUUUUAGUAAAGAAAUGAGA